UCUCCGUAGGUGAACCUGCGGAGGGAUCAUUACAGAGUUCUCGCCCUCGCGGGUAGAUCUCCCACCCACUGUGAUUGCUACCGUGUGGCUUUGGCGGGCCGCCGGGCCCCGCCCAGCCGCCGGCCCCGGCCGGCGCGUGCCCGCCAGAAGCCACGCAAACUCUGAAUGUCAGCGUCGUCUGAGUACUAUGUAAUAGUUAAAACUUUCAACAACGGAUCUCUUGGUUCUG
rnacentral:misc_RNA from 1 species